ACUGCCAACAUUGCACACUUCAGCGUGACUGUGGUCCAAUUACUUUCAAAUUCCUUUUUUCUGUCCAUUUUAAAGCGUUUACUGUUCCUGGGCUGUCUUGGUUGUAAGUGUGAACUCCAGAAGUGAGCAGAUCCACUUUUAUACGACGAGUCAUACGUGCCAGCAGUUCUAGUUGAGUGGCUUUAAGUAUUGUGCAGGUUAAAUAAGUUAACACUCUUGUUACUGUGUCAGGCUGAAAGGUUGGAAAAAUCAGACAUCUCCCGGUGCAUCUUUAGUGAAAAGGCUGUUGUUUUAAAUCAUUAAAAGUUGGACUACUUUUUCUUACAGACAUAAAACGCUAACUUGCAAGCAAAGGGCCCUAUCUUAAUAUUAUCUAAACCAGGGGUUCUCAACCGGGGGUCCACGGCCCCCUAGGGGCCUUGAGGAAUUUUCAAGGGGUCCUCCAAAAAUAAACCAGUGAAUGUGUUAUUUUCCCUGCAUGUUAUGACACGCUGAAACCAAUUAGCUUCAGCAUGUCAUAAGCAUGAGCAGAAAUUAACACAUUCUCAGGUUACAUAACACAUUCUCUGGUUAACUAUGGUGUAAUAGAGCUAUUUCAGUGGGAGCAUGACAGAUUACAAAGCAGAGGGAAAAUCAUUGGAAGCACACACAAUAAAUACCAGAUAUUGAUACAUGUUUAAUUCUACCAUCAGCAUCAAAACAACAGAACCCAUAGAAUGAUGAUAAAGAACUACCUUCAACAAGUUCAACUGUAAGGGCUGGAGAACAGUGAGGAGGUGGUGUUGUGAGUAAAAAAAACAUAAAGCCGUUAUCAUCCCUGCAAAAUUAAAGAAAUACGAAGACAGCAUUCGGUUUUGUUUGUACUGGAAGUGGAGAUAUACCUCAAAAUGCAGUGUGUAAUUUGUACUGUCCAUUGAAUGUUUGAAACCCUCCAAAUUACAGAGACAUUUUAAUUACCAACCAUGAAAUAUAUAAAAACAAGCAACAAUUAAUUUAUUUGAGUGAAAGGCCUCAGAAGCAAAAAGGUUGAGAACCACUGAUCUAAACCAAGGCAGUAGAUUGAUCCACUGCUCUUUAGAUCAAUGUAUCCAUUAGAUGUACUUAGAUGUGAUUUUCAGUAACAAAAUAGCAUUGCUUCCUGCAGCCGCAAAAAGCUUCGUUUAUGAACCCCCUGUUCUUUGACAAAUUCGAUUGAAUUAUUCAUAGACCAAGCGAUUUCCUUUUAUUGAUGCAAUUGCAUUAUUUUUUCAUUAAUCCCAGCACAGAUGCAUGCCUACAGCAUGUUAACGGCUUCAAACAAUGCAGGUAUAAUACAGACCUCCUUCUAGUUGAUUUAGUGGUAAUACAGCACAUUAUGUAUCUCCUUCAAUCUUUGUAACACAGAUUUAUUUACUCUGCAUUCCAAUCUGUGAUUAUAAAAUCACUUGGCAACUUUGAAACACGGCUGUGCAAAACCGUUUCUAACUGAACAGAAGGGUGUCAUUUGUCAAAGUUUGGUCUGUCUUGGUGAGAAAACAGCAUUCUUCUUUUAAACUGUGAACUUGUCGAUGGACUCUCUCCUCGAAUCAAUUCCAGCACCCUCUGUAACCCCACCCUUCCAGCCCAUUGUUUGGUGCUUGUGCUAAAGUUUCAUUGUCACUUUAUACUUACCCUACUGAACCUUGUGUCUACAGUACAGGAUGGUUAAUUGCUAAAAGGUGUAUGUUGUACUAACUGUUCAUUUCUUUGUUGGCAGAAAAAGAGGACAUGUUUGCAUUACGCCAUCCAGAAAACAUAUUCUUAUGUGGACUAUCUGAUAAUAAUGAUCCUCAUGCCUGUUUUAUUAAUAGGCUUCUUUAUAAUGGUGCGCCUGGUUUAUUUCCAGUAAAAAUUGUAACUGCUGUAAGCCCAGAUGAAGUCAUUACUAAACACCUAAAGCUGGUCCCACAACUGUUUAUUGUGAGGGGAUGCGCCCUAUAUUUAUUUCUUAGCAGACGCCCUUAUCCAGGGCGAUUACAAGAUAUCACAUUAUUUUACAUACAAUUACCCAUUUAUACAGUUGGGUUUUUACUGGAGCAAUUUAGGUAAAGUACCUUGCUCAAGGGUACAACAGCAGUGUCCCCACCGGGGAUUGAACCCACAACCCUCUGGUCAAGAGUCCAGAGCCCUAACCACUACUCCACACUAUAGCCUGGAGGUCGCCGGUUUGAAUCUAGGCUAUUCCACUGCUGACCGUUACCCGGGUGGGGAGGGCUUAGGUCAACCAGGGUAACCUGUAGAAUGGCUGGGCGCCUGCGGGCUUGCCUGUAAGCUGCCCAGAGCUGCGUUGCCCUCUGACGCUGUAGCUUGUACUAUUUAAAACUAGCUCUAGGCCCUGCAUGUUUAUAAUACUGAUUUACAGGGAAAUGAGUUUGAAUACUGGCUCAGCCAGUCUGUCUGGGACAUCUAAAUAUCUCUGUAUCUAACAUGCAGACAAAACUCCUGAUACUCAGACAAAGGCAGGCUGGUCCUGAUACUGCGAGCUAUACACUGAAAUUUCUCUUUGUCAUGUGUUUAUUGAAUUAUGUUUAUUCCAUGGGUGGAUUUGGUCACUAUACUCUAUCCACUGCCUGGAUUGAAUGAGAUACUAAAGCACAGAUCAAGCAGGGAGACACAGUUGAUGCAAUCCAGGGGAAUUCCUCAUUGCUGUAAAAUAUACAGCAUUUUAAUAUCGAGUGAAGUCUCCAAAGGGAAUGUUCAAGGUGUCUCUGUCUGGAGUCUGGGGUUUUAAGCCUGUGUAUAUUUUAUAUUAUACUCUGUAUAUAGUAUUUUAAUCCAUUAGUUCAUUCAGAAUGGAGAAUACUGAAUGCAACUGUGAUAUUAGUGGAUGCAUCAAAGUCAUCUGUUAUAAAUUGAAAUACGACCUUCUACUGAACAGAAACAAAUGCCUUUGCAGAAAGGCAACACAGCCCUUCACUAUGCUUGCAAAAUGAGAAGUACAAAAAUUGUUCCUCUUCUGAUGGAAAAAAACUGCAGAUCUUACAAUAAAGAACCAGGAUGGAUAGUCUCAACUGGAUAUUGCAGAGCGGUUAACAUUUCCAAAGAUUGUCCAGAUGCUGAAGAAAUCAUCUUGACUUGGACAUGUAAUGAUUUCCAACACUGAACACAUUCUUAGCCCAUAGUAAAUAUAAUCACAUUUUCAACAAAAUAAAUACAAACUAAAACAAAAUGUUGCUAUUACUGGACACCAUGACCCUUUGAAGUGGUUGUGCUCUGGUGUGAUAAAACACAGACCCAACCGGCUCCUAACCCUUAUUCAGGGUGUACAUAACACAACUGGUGCAGUCUUCCUGAAUUCAUUACAUUAUACAGUACUGCAUCUAAAUUGUUGUACAUGAAAUCAGUAGCCGUUACAGUAUUUAUUACAUUUUAGAAUUAAAAACGUUUAUAUAUUAAGUGAUGUUGUUACUGUAAAAAAAAAAAAAAAAAAAGAAAAAAAAAAGAAAAAACGUAUUUGAUAGAAGUACUGUAAGUGUUUGAAUGUUUAAGUGGUUAAAUCAAAUAGAUUGAGCCUUGCAUGGAAUGUACCAUGAUGCUGGUGUAAAAAUAAUCCAUAGGAGCCCUUUGGAAACACACCACUGGACAGUAUUGUUAUCACUGCAUAAAACAGAAUUAUAACCUGAACAAACGAUUCAGUACUAGGGGUAAAGGUUUCAGUACUGCACGUGUCAGUAGUAAUGUUUUUAGUCCAAGUGAACAACUGUCUGUAUUAUACAUAGUAUGUUAGUAGAGGAUACCAAAAAGCACACCAUGUGCUGCAACUACUGUACUCCAGUAAUUGUACGGUAUGUUGCAGUGUUUACAAACACAAUUACAAAUGCCCAUUAAUUCAAGGGUUUUUAUUCAAGUCCAGUCAUGUACAUCAGAAUUAAUUAAGGUUUGUCCCAUUACAACAGCAUACAGUGCAAUUUAAAAAGACAGCAUGUAUUGUAUACGACCUGAACUUUGAAUUGAACCUCAUUUGUCAAGCCUCUUUUAUACAGCGCCUUUUGUAGUGGACCAUCAUCACAAAGUGCUUUACAGAGGUAGGCUGAGGCUGUGUGGUCCAGGAGGUUCCUGGUUCAAAUCCCAGCUUAGCCAAUGACUCAUUGUGUGACCCUGAGCAAGUUACUUAACCUCCUUGUGCUCCAUCUUUUGGGAGAGACGUUGUUGUAAAUGACUCUGCAGCUGAUGCAUAGUUCACACACCCUAGUCUCUUAUCUUGUAAAGCGCUUUGUGAUGGUGGUCCACUAUGAAAGGCACUAUAUAAAGAUUAUUAUUAUUUUUACUUACAACAGGACAUUAAGUCAAGCCUAAACUAUCCUGUUGAUGCUUUCAAAUUACAGAUUAAUUGUAUACACAGCAAACAAAAACCACUACAUUUAAUACAAUCUUUGGUAAGAUGCUGCUCUUUUGGAAUAA